rnacentral:rRNA from 1 species
AGAACGAACGCUGGCGGCGUGCUUAACACAUGCAAGUCGAGCGCGAACGUCACCUUCGGGUGGCUAGUAGAGCGGCGCACGGGUGAGUAACACGUGGGUAAUCUGCCCUUUAGACUGGAACAACCCGGGGAAACCCGGGCUAAUGCCGGAUAUGACAGCACACUGUAGGGUGUGUUGGGAAAGCGGGGGACUUCUUCGAGGCCUCGCACUAGAGGAUGAGCCCGCGGCCCAUCAGGUAGUUGGUAGGGUAAUGGCCUACCAAGCCGAAGACGGGUAGCUGGUCUGAGAGGAUGAUCAGCCACACUGGAACUGAGACACGGUCCAGACUCCUACGGGAGGCAGCAGUGGGGAAUAUUGGACAAUGGGCGAAAGCCUGAUCCAGCAACGCCGCGUGAGUGAUGAAGGUCCUCGGAUCGUAAAGCUCUGUCGGUAGGAACGAUGGGUGUUUUGGUUAAUAACCAACGCACUUGACGGUACCUGCAAAGGAAGCACCGGCUAACUCUGUGCCAGCAGCCGCGGUAAGACAGAGGGUGCAAGCGUUGUUCGGAAUUACUGGGCGUAAAGCGCGCGUAGGCGGCUAAGCAAGUCGGAUGUGAAAGCCCAGGGCUCAACCCUGGAAGUGCACCCGAAACUGCUUAGCUUGAGUCCCGGAGAGGGUGGUGGAAUUCCCAGUGUAGAGGUGAAAUUCGUAGAUAUUGGGAGGAACACCGGUGGCGAAGGCGACCACCUGGACGGUGACUGACGCUGAGGUGCGAAAGCGUGGGGAUCAAACAGGAUUAGAUACCCUGGUAGUCCACGCCGUAAACGAUGGAUACUAGGCGCUGCGGGUAUUGACCCCUGCAUUGCCGAAGCUAACGCAUUAAGUAUCCCGCCUGGGGAGUACGGCCGCAAGGCUA